rnacentral:piRNA from 1 species
UGUUUAAGUGAUGUGAUGUCUCCGAGGA